GAUUGGAGAGGCCUGCUGUGCUGUUGUGGCUGCCCACACACUGCUGCAGUGGCGCGGUUUGGCCGCCGGAGGGCAGCGCGGGACCGAAACCAAGUGCCAGAGGAGGGAAGGAAAGGCGGUCGCGAGAUCGCUGGCCGUGCAACACGGACUACAGUUCAUCUCACGGAAUGGAACCAGACCUAAAUGUGAAUUUGCAGUCGAUUGUGGAGGAGGCAUCCCAACCUAUCCUACAGUAUGUCUCACCAGACUGACUGGAGAUACGUGUCAGCGGUGAGAGCAGCCCAUCUCUGAACUAGCAGUAAUAGCUCUCUCCUUCUCUGGGUGUCUCUCCUGAGCAUAGAGAUCUGCCUCUUCUCGUCUAUAGCGUGCAUGAGAGGAGGAGAAUGAACAAGUGUGUUUGAUCUGGAGAAGGAGAGAGAGGGAUUCUCAUCCAGACCAAUGCUGAGCUGACAGGAAGAGAGGAAGCACAGACUGACAUGUGUUUAGUGUGUGUGACGAUUCUCCCUUCAUCCUGUGUGUGUGCGCGUCUGUGUGUGUGUUUGCAUGCACACGUGCACACUCUGUGGCACUGAGCCCCCCCUACCCAACCCGCUGCACUGGGAAGUGUUUCCAAGGAAACUGUCACCCAUGGCGAGGUCCAGUGAGGGUGAACUGCCUCUUGCAUGCAUACCUAAAUUCAGACCCCUAAAACCUACAACACGCCACCCCAGAGCGACAAACCCACUGAGUCAAAAAUCACCCUGAAUUAAUUGCACUCCGUGUUAACCAUUUUAUUGCACUGAUGUGUUUUUAUUCAUGUCUUUGAAGUGCAAACUCUAAAAGUCAAACUCAAUAGUCUGUAUUUUUUAUUUUAUUGUGCUUUAUGUAAUGGUUUUUAUACUGUACAAACACACAUCACACACACACGUUGUUUGAACACUGUUAUUGUGCUUUUUCAUUCUUGUAAAAAUACAUUCAUUAAUAUUGUUAAAUUAUUAAUAAUAACCUGUGUGUGUGUUUAUUAAAGAUAUAAAAAUAACUCGCAUUCUAGUAUAAAUGGCCUACUUUUUAUGAUUUAACCAGUUCUCUAUGGCUAAAAGCAAGUCUUGUUUCACUCAGGAAUAUUUCACAUAGUCCCACUUUAUAUUAGGUGUCUUUAACUAUGUACUUGCAUUUAAAUUAAUCAUUUGAUACAAUGUAAUUAUGUCAAAUGUUUUUACAUUUGUAAUUUCAUAUGUAAUUAUUUUCUGUAAUUACAUAUAUAGUUACACUGUUGACCCUUUCCUUACACCUUACAC